rfam:Megasphaera genomosp. type_1 str. 28L contig00037, whole genome shotgun sequence.
UAUACCUUUAACAUAGUCCGGAGAGGCUAAAAAGGUAGGGUGUUGAUUAUGCCCAGUAACGGACCUUUGCCGGACGGCAAAGGUCUUUUUUUAU